ACUCCUACGGGAGGCAGCAGUAGGGAAUCUUCCACAAUGGGCGCAAGCCUGAUGGAGCAACACCGCGUGAGUGAAGAAGGGUUUCGGCUCGUAAAGCUCUGUUGUUAAAGAAGAACACGUAUGAGAGUAACUGUUCAUACGUUGACGGUAUUUAACCAGAAAGUCACGGCUAACUACGUGCCAGCAGCCGCGGUAAUACGUAGGUGGCAAGCGUUAUCCGGAUUUAUUGGGCGUAAAGAGAGUGCAGGCGGUUUUCUAAGUCUGAUGUGAAAGCCUUCGGCUUAACCGGAGAAGUGCAUCGGAAACUGGAUAACUUGAGUGCAGAAGAGGGUAGUGGAACUCCAUGUGUAGCGGUGGAAUGCGUAGAUAUAUGGAAGAACACCAGUGGCGAAGGCGGCUACCUGGUCUGCAACUGACGCUGAGACUCGAAAGCAUGGGUAGCGAACAGGAUUAGAUACCCC
rnacentral:rRNA from 1 species